AAUUCAAACCAUUGCCCAAAACUGUGAAAAAUUAAGCAGAAUUUUUUCCGCGCUGCUAAAUUUUCACCUCAAAAUUCUAAUUUCAAACUAUGUUUCAGUAAUAUUUAAAUUUUUUUUUACCAAAGUCUCAAAGAUCCCAGUAUCCCACAUCUCUCUUUCCCUUAGAACCCUAAAUCUAUUUCAUUUUCUUCAUCUCUCAACUCCAUCUCCAUUUCUGUUUCUCUCCUUCACUGAAACGGCUCAGGAGUUCUCUCGCGUCUGUUGUAAAAUUUUCCAAGGGUCAUUUGAGCAUAUUGAAGUGCAACAAGAUCCUAUCUACACGAUAUUAUAUGAGAAUUGAAGACCAUAAAGAACAAGGGAUGAUGACUUUAUUGUAACAAGCUAAGGAGUAAGGAACAUGAAGUACAUUUUGGAUAUAUUUGUGAUCUCUAUUACUUAUAUAUAUAGUGGCUUAGUGGGUAUUAUCUAGUGAUUGACAAAUUUAACUUUGUAUAGUUUUCUUAGUAGAACAAUAUAAAUAUAGAUGUAAUUUUGAUUUCCAUGCAUUGAACAUGGGUCAACGUAUAUUACUAUUAUACUAAUGAUUGUUAUCAUAAGAAGAUUAUUUUAUAUCUCGGAAUCAUGAAAUGUAAGUGUGGUAGCAACAACAAUAAAUAAUUUGUUGCCCACAUACCAAAUAUAAUUUUGGGCAAAAAAAAAAAAUGCUUGC